CACGGGGCGGGGAAGGGGGGUCGGGCUGCAGGAGGAGGCGCCCGGACCGCGGAGCAAGAGCCCGGGUAGCGGUCCGCGCCGGGGCGGGCGCUCCGUCAGCACCGGACAGACAAUACAAGCGCCUCGGAGCGAGUCCCCGAACCUGCCCUAGCCAAAAUGGCGGCCGAGAAAGAGCGGAAGUGACGCAACAGGCAAAAGGGACUCCCCACGCAUUUUUAAGUAGGGUGGCUGAUGGCUGAGACAAGGGGAAAAGCAGCAGACUCAUCCCAGAAUGCUGAGUGGUCAGAAGAAAGGGAAAGGAGGAAGAAGAUACCGGUAACUUUUAUUUAUUUAAAAGGGAAUGCUGCCUUCUGUUAUGCUUUAAAUCUUGGAUACUCUAUUUGUUUUCUUGUCAGCUGGUUUCCAACAGCUUUGGGAGGCACAGGAAGAAGGAAGAUCUCAAGGAGAAGGGGAGAAGCCCAAGUGUCCUCCCCUUUACUCUGCCUCCCAGCGUGGACCAGAUUCCACCCAUGACUCCCGCUCCUGCCAAGCAUCCCUGACUCCACCAUCCUAGCUCCUCUGGGCAGCCCGGGUUCCCGGCUCUAAAAACACCAUCUCCUCCAUUGUUGCUCCAGCCCAGGAGCGGUAGUGAGCUCCAGCUGCUACUAAUCUCUGAGUAGCCCCACUGUUCCAUUUGGCUUCUCAGCAAUUCCUUCACCUGUGUAACCAGAUUCUCUGUAUUAAAUUCCCUAUAUUGAAAGAAUUACAGUGGUUUCUGUUUUCCUAAGUGGGCUUUGCCUCAUACAGGCAAUUCAAGUUAAACCAUCUGCAUAUCAUUAAGAUCAUUAAAAACCAUCACAGGAGGUCACUGUAUUUUGGCCCUGUUCCAAACUGGGGAAAUACACACUGGAUAAUCUUACUAAGGCAAGGAGCAGGCAUGAGGGGUGAGAGGUUCUACUUACCUAGUCCCAACUUUUGCUCCCGUGGUCUCAGAAGCUGUAAGAAUAAGAAAUGGCAUUUUAACACAAAUAAUUGAAAAUCU